rnacentral:lncRNA from 1 species
CGCCGUGCGCCCGCACUCCUCAGCCCUUGGGAGGUAGAUGGGACUGGGCGCCGUGGAGCAGGGGGCGGCGCUCGUCGGGGAGGCUCGGGUCGCACAGGAGCCCAUGGAGGUGGGGGGAGGCUCAGGCACGGCUGGGCUGCAGGUCCGGAGCCCUGCCCCGCGGGAAGGCAGCUAAGGACGGGCGAGAAAUUAAGCACAGCAGCUGCUGGCCCAGGUGCUAAGCCCCUCACUGCCUGGGGCUGGCGGGGCCGGCAGGCCGCUCCGAGUGCGGGCCCGCCGAGCCUACGCCCACCCGGAACUCGCGCUGGCCCGGAAGCACCGCGCGCAGCCCCGGUUCCGGCCCGCGCCUCUCCCUCCACACCUCCCCACAAGCUGAGGGAGCCGGCUGCGGCCUUCGCCAGCCCAGAAAGGGGCUCCUACAGUGCAGUGGCGGGCUGAAGGGCUGCUCAAGCGCCGCCAAAGUGGGAGCCCAGGCAGAGGAGGCGCCCAGAGCGAGCGAGGGCUGUGAGGACUGCCAGCACGCUGUCACCUCUCACUCAUAUAGAUUGCCAAUCUAUUUGUGAACCAGGUUUGCUGGAGUUUGGAUUUACUACUGAGUCAUAUUUGGAGCAUGCUGGAAUCUUACAACUGAGAUUACCGAGUCAGAAACUUGCAAACAUGAGUAACAUGGCCCUGCUCUGGAGACUACUGGGAACACAAACACAGCCAUUUAAGACAUCUACCUGCUUCUCCUUUGCCUUCCAUCAUGACUGAAAGUUGUCUGAGGUCUCCCAGCCACGUGUCCUGUACAGCCUGUGGAACUACUUUAAAGAAGAAUCAGAAAAUGGAGACUGGGAUUGGAAGCAGAGAUCCGAUGGCCAAAUUACAGUCUGCCACUGAAGCUAACACACCUAUGGAUAACCCAACCUGUAAACUCAAUGUGGAACACAGUUUGAGAAAAGAAGUGAGAAGAUUCAAUUUUGAAGUUGGAUCACUCUCCUACAGGCAAUGAAGACCACAUCACUGAUGACUCUGACUAAUACAUCAUGAACUUGCAGAAUUUUGGAUAUUUGACAAAUCUGAGGAAUUGAAGAGACGGGCACCUCACCUUUUCUGAGCAGAAGAGUUCAUUUGAUGAAACCUGAAGUAGAGAGCAGGCUCUCCUGCAAUUCUAUUACCUGUUUGAAUGUGAAGAUGGGAUGAAGUAGCAAGAAGGACCUCACAAAAUACCUCCCCCACCACCCCAUCAUCUUGCACUUUCCAGUCUGCAGAACUGUGAGAAAGAAAUUUUUAAAAUUAUUAUUAUACUUUAAGUUAUAGGGUACAUGUGCACAAUGUGCAGGUUUGUUACAUAGGUGUACAUGUGCCAUGUUGGUUUGCUGCGUCCAUCAACUCGUCAUUUACAUUAGGUAUUUCUCCUAAUGCUAUCCCUCCCCCAGUCCCCCAGCCCCUGAUAUGCCCCAGUGUGUGAUGUUCCCCUCCCUGUGUCCAUGUGUUCUCAUUCAACUCCCACCUAUGAGUGAGAACACACGGUGUUUGGUUUUCUGCCCUUGUGACAUUUUGCAGAGGAUGAUGGUUUCCAGCUUCAUCCAUGUCCCUGCAUAGGACAUGAACUCCUUUUUUAUGGCUGCAUAUAUUCCACGGUGUAUAUGUGCCACAUUUUCUUAAUCCAGUCUAUCAUUGAUGGACAUUUGGGUUGGUUCCAAGUCUUUGCUAUUGUGAAUAAUGCCACAAUAAACAUAUAUG